rnacentral:snRNA from 1 species
AUUGGCUCUCUGAGCUAAGAUCAUGUGUAGUAUCUGUUCUUUGCAGUGUAAUUUCUGCAACGGUCUAUAAACUGAAACCAAUGAAAUUUCCUGUAGUUUUCACCUCCGAACGGGGGGUGUGAGCUUGCUGAACCCCGUUCACGAGUUGGUCUCGUAUUGCAUUACCUCGAGGAUUGGCUCACUAUUU